UGUAGCUCCUCGUCAGUACGCUCGAGAGCCUGAUGGACGUGUUCACAUGGACAAAGGCGAGGACCGACAUCGUUUCGACAGUGCUCCGUGUUCGUUUAGUCCGCGACUAGUCGUACGUCUUUCGGUUACAUACAGACAUACAUAGAUGGUUGGACUGAGACGACAACGCGCGUCGUGUACGAGUACGAAGGGGAUUGAGAUAGCAGAGAUGGGACGAUAAUGGGGAUUUUGUGUGGAGUAUAUUGUUGGAUUACUGCGAAUUUUUAUGAAUAUUUCUAUUUUUAUAAACUCAGGGAAACGGAGUUUAAUUACCGGCUGUACAAGAAAUGGUUCUUACAAGCACCGAGGAAGUCCGUCACGUCCGAUUCGUCACGGUCCACGUCAAUUCUCUCGAUCGAUUUCCCAAAAAGUUCCGAUAUCCGAAUUACCUACACCGAUGUUGCCGACAGGCAAAAAGUGGAACUGCAAGAAGACGACACAAGAAAGGAAGAACAAGCAUGUAAUAUAUGUAUACAUUCACUCACAAAAGUAUUCGGGCAUUUAUGGAAAUCUUUUACGAACUGUUUUAAAAUUUUUAAUCCUAAAAUUUCACGAUAAUUAAAUAACAUAUUUCCAGUUUCUAGAUUUUUGGUCGUGUUUUUAUUAAUACGUUAGGUCUUGUUUCGACAUCUCGUGAACACUUCAGUUUGCUUCUUCGGGGCAGGUACGAAAACUACGUAUUAUAGGAAACAUAUUGAAAUUUCACUAAUACUGUAACGGAAUACAAUUAUUACAAUUACAUUGGUCAAGUUUGAAACAAAUCUGAAAAUGUAUAUAGAAACUACAAGAUAUUUAGCGCAAGUAUGUAUUUCGCAAAAAUCAUAAAAGUAUUUAAAUAGUCAAUUAUCCAUUACGUUGGUAAGCCUAAAUAUUCAAUGAGACCAUUUUUAACGCUUAUUUAUACUAAUUUGUUACUAAAUAUACGUUGGCAGUAAAUAUAUGUCAUAGCUUCUAUAUACGUAAAAGUUUUCUAUGGUAAGUGGUCUGAUAACAUAUUUGUCGUCCUUCGAGUUUCCAUCGUGUUUCUAAUACUGUUCGUGCUUUCAGUAGUAUUCAUUUCUUCAGAGCACCACAAAUAUGUCAUCUAAUGAUCGUGAAAAUUUAAUAUGCAAAAAGUAUUCAGAUGCCGCCGUCAGCCAGUAUAAGUAUGUAAGUACAUGGCAGAUCUUUAUGUAACGGAGCACGAGAUCUGAACGCGUGUCAGCUCCGCAUCCGGGCGUGCUGCGUGCAUUUGCCCACCUGCUCGUUGGGCCGUGACCUCUUCUUAUUCGGGUGAAGGGAAGGAAACGCCGACGAAGCAAGAAGAAGCGGAGGUGGCUAAAGAAAAAGAACGGACGAGUGUCUCUCGCUGAUUGACGAGCGCCAGAGUCUCCGAGAGUCGAAGCAAUAAAGCACGUGCGCGCAUAAACGCGCGAGAAAAGGAUCUCUGGUGCAUCGAACACCUGCCUCUCCUCUUCGUAGCGUUCGUCGAGAUUGGUGGUCAUACGUACACAACAUGUCUACUGACAAGUCUAUGACUCGUUUCAUGAGGGAAUUAAUUACUUCGGCGAGAAUAAGCUUGUAAAUGGGCGAUCGAAUGACGAGGUCGAUGAAAGAUUAUUAACGCUCUUAGGGAAAAAGAUUGUAACUUGCACGAUAAUGUUCAGUGUAAUGUCUUAUAGAGUUGUUGAAGAUCUAAAGUAUUAGGUGCGUUCUUAUGUAUGUAUAUAUGUAUGACUAAGACUUGUUUGAAAAGGGAAUUAAUUACUUCAACGAGAAUUAGCUGGGAAAUGGGUGAUUGAAUAUGAAAGUUUAUUAACAUUCUGGAAAGAAAAAUUGUAAUUUGCCCUGAAGCGUUUACUGGUGUUUUUUUAUAAAGUUAUUGAAAGUUUAAAGUAUUGGAUGUCACGGAACAUAAAAGGAUUUUUGUGAAAAAAAGUAUACUGUCCUCUUUAGUUAAAAUAUCCCCCUUACCAUUUCGAUAUUGAAGAAAAUUAAAGUUUUAUAAAAAGGCUAGCAUAAAAACCAAGAUUGAGUUUUUUGGUAUUCGUGUCUCUGUCGUUCCUUGAUAAAAAAAAAAAUUGGAAUUGAAUUUCCAUCAUCUCAGAAAAUUUUACUUAUUAUACUUAUAUCUUAUUUACAUGUAAAUAUAUACCUCUUAAUUUAUAGCGAUGGUUUAGAGGGAUAAAGUGUUAUUAAGGCUGUUGAUAUCGAGUCAUAUUUUUACUGAUUGAAAAGAAAUUUAAUUUCCAUCACCCUGAAAAGCUUCAAUUAACCCAGUUCAUUAACUUUCACUCGUCGGAUAAAACUGCCUCUCUUCUCUUUAAGCAAAUUGUUUAUUAUUCGAUAAAUUCUUCCCCCUUUAAUCUCAAUUUAUACGAAAGAUUUAUACCAAAAAUCGAAAACAAAACAUCUGACGAAGUAAAACAUCUACCAACAAAAAAUGCUAUGUACUUGCAGAAGAAUAGAAAAUCAAUCUGAAUAACUUUCCAUAAAUAGCAUUUGCAAAAAGUUCUAAAGUGAUAUCAAAAAGCUACGAACUACGAAAAUUCUAAGACCAUAGUUAACUUCUUGCCUUAUGACUUUUGAAAUAUCUACUUUGAUAAAUCUUAGCUAUUCGUUAUUAAAACAAAAUAUAUGAAAUAUUAUA